rnacentral:sRNA from 12 species
AAGAGUGUUGACGGAUCGAAAGAUGAAGAUGGAGCGAGCGGGUAAGCGUCUGUUGCGGAAGGAUAAUAAACUAUGAGGGUGUCAGGAGUGACUUCCCGGUUCUCGAAAAUGGCGGUAGAGAAGAUCGUGCUGGCAGGUGUCAGGGCGUCGUAAACGCAAAAGCGGCUUAUCCAUAGUUCCCUAGUGUGCGGGGGUAGGCAGGGUUUAUUACCAAUGCACACAUACA